rnacentral:tRNA from 1 species
ACGAUUGUGGCGGAAUGGUAGACGCGAGAGCUUCAAAAGCUCUUAACCUAAUGGUUGUGCGGGUUCAAAUCCCGCCAAUCGU